rnacentral:lncRNA from 1 species
CUAAUUUGUCCGUAACCUCACAGAGGUGACUCUGGCGCUAGUGAACAAUGCUGCUGUGACUUAUGUGAAACCUCAACUGGCCACAUUUUGGUACUAUGCCAAAGUUGAGCUGGUUCCUCCACCCCUGUUGAGAUCCCUAGAGCUAUCCAAAGCCUGGGGGAAAAAAAUAAGUCACUAGUGCUCAAACUGGUAGCUUCAAACCGCUCACAGUUAAGGAAGUGGUGCUGAAUGAUUUGGUGGCCACUGAGGUGUGAAUGUGGUUUUAUGUUGGAGAGAUCACAGGCAAGUGUGGCAUGAUUGGCUAUAAUAU